UACGUAGGGUGCAGGCGUUAAUCGGAAUUACUGGGCGUAAAGCGUGCGCAGGCGGUUUGCUAAGAGAGAUGUGAAAUCCCCGGGCUUAACCUGGGAACUGCGUUUCUAACUGGCAGGCUUGAGUGUGGCAGAGGGGGGUGGAAUUCCACGUGUAGCAGUGAAAUGCGUAGAGAUGUGGAGGAACACUGAUGGCGAAGGCAGCCCCCUGGGCUAACACUGACGCUCAUGCACGAAAGCGUGGGGAGCAAACAGG
rnacentral:rRNA from 1 species